rnacentral:rRNA from 1 species
CGGGCGAGGUUGCUUCGGUAACUGAGCUAGCGGCGGACGGGUGAGUAAUGCUUAGGAAUCUGCCUAUUAGUGGGGGACAACAUUCCGAAAGGAAUGCUAAUACCGCAUACGCCCUACGGGGGAAAGCAGGGGAUCUUCGGACCUUGCGCUAAUAGAUGAGCCUAAGUCAGAUUAGCUAGUUGGUGGGGUAAAGGCCUACCAAGGCGACGAUCUGUAGCGGGUCUGAGAGGAUGAUCCGCCACACUGGGACUGAGACACGGCCCAGACUCCUACGGGAGGCAGCAGUGGGGAAUAUUGGACAAUGGGCGCAAGCCUGAUCCAGCCAUGCCGCGUGUGUGAAGAAGGCCUUUUGGUUGUAAAGCACUUUAAGCGAGGAGGAGGCUACUUGGAUUAAUACUCUAGGAUAGUGGACGUUACUCGCAGAAUAAGCACCGGCUAACUCUGUGCCAGCAGCCGCGGUAAUACAGAGGGUGCGAGCGUUAAUCGGAUUUACUGGGCGUAAAGCGUGCGUAGGCGGCUUCUUAAGUCGGAUGUGAAAUCCCUGAGCUUAACUUAGGAAUUGCAUUCGAUACUGGGAAGCUAGAGUAUGGGAGAGGAUGGUAGAAUUCCAGGUGUAGCGGUGAAAUGCGUAGAGAUCUGGAGGAAUACCGAUGGCGAAGGCAGCCAUCUGGCCUAAUACUGACGCUGAGGUACGAAAGCAUGGGGAGCAACAGGAUUAGAUACCCUGGUAGU